rnacentral:rRNA from 1 species
UACAGAGGGUGCAAGCGUUGCUCGGAAUUAUUGGGCGUAAAGGGUGUGUAGGCGGACUUUUAAGUCCGUGGUGAAAUCUCCGGGCUCAACCCGGAAACUGCCAUGGAUACUAUAGGUCUUGAAUGUUGUUGAGGUGGGCGGAACGGGUCAUGUAGCGGUGAAAUGCAUAGAUAUGACCCGGAACACCGAUUGCGAAGGCAGCCCACUAAGCAACGAUUGACGCUGAGGCACGAAAGCGUGGGGAUCAAACAGG